CGACGGUAUGGUAUUGGCUUACCGUGGCAGUGACGGUUAACGGGGGAUUAGGGUUCGAUUCCGGAGAGGGAGCCUGAGAAACGGCUACCACAUCUAAGGAAGGCAGCAGGCGCGCAAAUUACCCAAUUCUAACAGUUUGAGAGAGGUAGUAACAAGAAAUAACAAUACAAGGCAGUUAAAAUGCUUUGUAAUUGGAAUGAUAGAAAUUUAAACCCUUUUUAAAGUAUCAAUUGGAGGGCAAGUCUGGUGCCAGCAGCCGCGGUAAUUCCAGCUCCAAUAGCGUAUAUUAAAAUUGUUGCAGUUAAAAAGCUCGUAGUUGAAGUUCUGCUGAAAGUAACCGGUCUGCUUUUAAUAAAAGUGGUAUCUUGGUAUGUAUUUAGCAAUGAUGUCCUUUGAAGUGUUUUUUACUUUAUUGUAAUAAAGCAUAUUCAGGACUUUUACUUUGAGAAAAUUAGAGUGUUUCUAGCAGGCUAACGCUUUGAAUACUGCAGCAUGGAAUAAUAAGAUAGGAUUUUAGUUCUACAUUAUUGGUUUUAAGAGCUAAAUUAAUGAUUGAUAGGGACAGUUGGGGGCAUUUGUAUUUAACUGUCAGAGGUGAAAUUCUUAGAUUUGUUAAAGACAAACUACUGCGAAAGCAUUUGCCAAAGAUGUUUUCAUUAAUCAAGAACGAAAGUUAGGGGAUCGAAGACGAUCAGAUAC
rnacentral:rRNA from 1 species